rnacentral:lncRNA from 1 species
UCCAGGAACUGGCACCUUGCAACAAUACGAUACACAAUCUUCUUUGGAUCGGAUUCGGUAGAACACGGCGCAAAAGUAGGCAACAAAUUUCCACCGGUCAAGUAACACAGGGGAAAAAAGAUGUAUCAGCCAUUUGCCGAUAAAUGGGUAAGGUGUAUCAGCCAUUUGCCGAUAAAUAGGUUAAACAAAAUUGGACCAAUGGGGGAGGAGCCCUGCGACAAUAUUAUUAAGACGGAGCGUGUGAGACGCCAAGUUCUAAAUCCAUGAAAUAAAUUCCGCCCCACAGGAUUCGAACUUGGAUCUGCCAAGGCACACAACCGUGCUCUUGCCAAUGGGCUAGGUACCCAUCCACGAUAAAUAGGUUAAACAUCCUGUGCGGAGUAUGAUCUGUUUGUUUGCUAUGUGUUUCCAGCCCUCAUUGCCAAAAAAAUGAGGCGUGGUUAUUGUAGUCUUUAUUUAUGAGAGCCUACACAGAAAAACUGCUCUCAUCAUCUUCAUUUAAAGCAGAGAAAAAGGACUACUACAGCAGCAUCGUCGUCAGGUUCUCAAGGUAGCCCUUAAAUGCCUUGAGCAAUUUCGCACCCAUGGAUCCUAUCCUAGUGGAUGUAGCGGGAAAGUAGUUGUUGCACCCAAGUUUGAUGCACCAACGCAAUGAACAGUAAAAUCAAAAUAAAUUGAAAACAAUUCAACAAAUCUGAACACUGGGUGCGUCUUUCGUCAGGACCAUGAUCGACCUCCCCAGUAAUUCGAAGCGCCAGUCACCUCGUUCAAGGAGCACCCGAACAUCACCUGCUACUAUGUCGGCUGAACGCGGGUACUUCUCGCAGCAAUAUGCAUGCAUGGGCUCAACGCCCGAGGUACGUCGGGGGAGGGGGGCCUUGGCCCCCCGGUCAAAACAAAUUUCCUAUCUUUGCUCGUUUAUAGUAUACUAGCAGCACGCGAGGUCGGCGGCAUGCGCCUUCAACCGGUUGAUGGCCCCUUCCCAGUUUAGCAAUGCCAUAUUUAAAUGAAAUAACAAUAUGAGGACCGAACCUAAUGUCUCAGGAGCUUGCAUUGACGGAUUUUCUGAAACUGGUUGAUUUUCUGAUGAGUUAUAGUGAACACAAUCCUUCCCCAUUAUAUCUAAUCAAUAAACUAAAAGAUGCACAUGAAACCGAAUCUCCGGCAGCGGACGAUGGGAGCUCGUUCUUGGGAGUGGGAAGGCACCCCGGCGCACGCCGGUGCUGGCUGCCAGGAGGAGGAGGGUUGGCUUAGCUGCCAAUGCCAUGGCGUAGGGUGGCGCCAAAGGUUCUCUGUUACGACCAAUGUGCAGAUCAAAAAUGACUGGGUAUGGNNNNNNNNNNNNNNNNNNNNNNNNNNNNNNNNNNNNNNNNNNNNNNNNNNNNNNNNNNNNNNNNNNNNNNNNNNNNNNNNNNNNNNNNNNNNNNNNNNNNNNNNNNNNNNNNNNNNNNNNNNNNNNNNNNNNNNNNNNNNNNNNNNNNNNNNNNNNNNNNNNNNNNNNNNNNNNNNNNNNNNNNNNNNNNNNNNNNNNNNNNNNNNNNNNNNNNNNNNNNNNNNNNNNNNNNNNNNNNNNNNNNNNNNNNNNNNNNNNNNNNNNNNNNNNNNNNNNNNNNNNNNNNNNNNNNNNNNNNNNNNNNNNNNNNNNNNNNNNNNUUCCUCAGUCUCUUUAUUACAUCUGGUUCCUUAUUUGGAAUAAAAGAAACAAUUAACAUCAUUGCAUUAAAAGAAAGACUAAUUUGUGUGACUCAGCUUUAUAAGCAAGCAUCAUAAACUUCCCCUUAGUACUUACCUAUUUCAAGUAUCUUAAACACACAUUUACACAGAGUUGAUAGAAAAUUUGGGUUCAAAAGAUCAAGUUACAAUGAAUAUGUAGAUGAUGAGGAAUGCCAGAUUCUGGACUUGCAGGCCGAUGCGUAGCUGCAACAGCGGCAGGUUGGAGCUCGGGAUCGACGGUGUUAGGCGUGGCUGGAAGGGAACCCGGCGUCGGCAGCCAGGACUAGGAGGAGGAUGACUAAGCAAGAUUAGAGUUACAGUAGAAAAGGUAGCAUGAGGCGGACGCGCGUAAAUCUAGACUAAGCAAGAUCAUGUGACAGCACUUUUUGGCUAUUUCUAUUGGGAGCUCAUCCACUAGUGUGUCGCCUGCCUCUGGCUUUGAAGUAAAUGUUUUUCUGAAAUUUUGAACAUAAUUAUUCUUUUUCAUAAAAGUAAUUGCUUUUUGACGAACAAAAUUUGUAAAGACUCAAACAUUUUUUGAAAAAAGGAACAAAACUGAAAACAAGUACAUUUUUCGAAACUACAACAAAAAAUUUGAACAUUCUCUGAAAAACAGGAAAAAAAAUGGAAAACAUGAACAUUUUCCAAAAAUAUGAAAAAGUUUUUCAAAACGCAAACAUUUUAUGAAAUUCCCCAAACAUUUUUAAAUUUUGUGAAAAAAGACCAUGGUAUUUUUGGAAUUUGGGAACAAAUUUUGGAAACAUGAACAUAUUUUUUGAAAAACAUGAACAUUAUAUGAAAUUGCCAAAAAAUGAAUUUGCGAAGAAAAUUUGAAAACAUUAACAAUUUUGAAUUUGCGAACAAAAUUUAAAAACAGGAACAUUUUUUGGAAAACACGAAUAUUUUAUGAAAUUCUCCAAAGUUUUAUUGAAUCAGCGAACAAAUUAUGGAAAUACGGGCAUAUUUGUACUCGUGAACUAAUUUUGAAAACAGGAACCUUUUCUGUAAUUGACGAACAUUUUUUGAAUUUGCGAAAAAACUUCAAAUUUUGGAAUAUUUUAAAUUUCUUUGAAUUUCCGAACAUUUUUUGAAAAUAAGUGAACAAAUUCGGGAGUACUAUACCUUUUCGAAAUUUCAGUACAAAAUUUGAAAACAAAAACAUUUUUUCUGGAAAAGUGAACAUUUUUUAAAGAUCGCAAACAUUUUUGGAAAUUUAUGAAAAAUUCUUUGAAGAAGGGAAAAAUAAAUUCGAAAAUAACAAUGAGAAAUGAAAGAAAAUAAAAAAAGGAAAGAAAAGAAACAGAAAAAGGAAGAAAAGCGAAAAAGGAGAGAAAAGAAAGGGACAGAAACAGGAAAAAAGAAAAAGAAAAAGAAGAAAACGAAAAAGCAAGAGGAAAAACAAGGGGGGGGGGCGGUUUGGGAACCUCCUAGAAGGUUCCAAAACCGUAAAUCGCUAAAACAUUCAACGGGCCCGCCCAUCCCCGAGCGAUCUUCAAACUAAACGUGCGUCAUCCCGACAACUCGCCGCCAGGGAAAAUAUCUAGUGAUACCAUUCAUGGGAUGAUACGCUGCUCCAGGGAUGCAUGGUACGUCAGAUCUGAAAUAAAGGGACAGGAUCAAGUCACUGAUGCAUUUACACAUGGGCCCUUGGAACAUUUGCACUUUGCCCCUAGAAACUAGCAUGUCUUUGCAGAAAUUGCCUUAGACAGUACGUCGAUCUCCAUCUGAGCUUGCACUUAUAAAUCCAGAAAAAAAGAAUCAAGUCAACAAACUGAAACUUCCAUAGAUAAUUAGAUCAUUUACAUGUUAAGCACUAGCACUAGUACUAGGGCGACAACAUGCUAAAUCCAGCUGAAUUACAUGGCCACCAAGGCUAGUUACAGAUUCAGCCUGAGCACAAUUACAGAAUUAGAUCCAAAACUAACCAUGACAAUUCCCAAUACUAGAACGAACCACUAAAGUUUGUCGUGGCUUAUCAGUAGACUAACAACUAACUCAACUUGAGAGCUGCGAGCCGUUGAGUUUGCGCCAUGUACACAUCCAUUGGUGGGCGCAAAUGCACACCUACAUGAUAAAAUCAAGAAUUAGAACCUAAAACAGCCUUUCGAAAACAACCCAAUCUUCUUCACCCUAGACCAUUUAAAAUAAAUGAACCAAUUCAUUUGUGUACUUGUAUCGAGAGGUCUCCUGGGGUCCACAUGAUGGGCGCACACACAUGAGUAACCUGGUUUUAAGAACUCACCACACCAACCCUGUUUUAAGGAUUCGGUACUAACCGUGUUCCUGUUACCUAGAAAAUGCAGAAUUAACCGUAAGUUCUUAUCAACAAACAACCAAACUUCCACAGGUUUUCUGUAAAUGAGAGGCAUAUAAGAAGAGUAACAAACCUUAGGUGAUUCAGUUAGCCCAAAGUAAGCUUUCCAUUUCUGUGACACAAUCGGUACAAUAGAAAAUUCAGAUGCCACUAGACCAGCAACCCACAAGCCAUAUAAAGAACAUGUACUCCACCAUCCCUGUGUAUGAAGAAGAAAGAUUACUGACAGAAUCUACAUCAUACCACAUGUUUCACAUGAAAUUUAAAUAGUCAUAUGGUGUCAGCUACAUUCUAUCAACUUGAAACUGCAAACUAAGUUUGAACUAGAUCCCAGUACUUGGAAUAACUCUAGCCUCAACUUGUGUGUGGAACAUCUCCAGAGACACAUGAUCUCAAGAAGCACACAAUGUUAGUUCUAUUACCACUGUACAACAUUAAAUAUGAGAAAUCUGCAAACACUUUUGUCAUGCCAAAUAACCUGCAUAUAUGUCGCAUCAUCUAAUUCUCCUGGUCGAUUUUGCUGUUUCUUGACUUAUAAGAACAUGUAAAAGGAAAUCAUUUGUUGAACUAGAAAACCAUGACAUGUUCACUUACGCUAGGCUGUACGUGUGGUUUUCAACUACUGUAUGUAAGAAACAUUCUAGAAAACUUUAUAAGAAAGAUUGUGUGUAUCUACAAUUCAGAUAGACAUGUUAUUGUUAGGAGAGGAAGUGGCAGUCAACAUUAUAACACUGAUAGACAUUCUUCUAGUUCUUCAGAGAUUAAAAUACUUAUACAUAUCUCUGCUCCAAACUAACUUUACCAUCUAUUGAGACUGAAUUGUGAGAUAAUUUUUUAUAACUCAGUGCUACAUUGUGGACAGCAAUUGACAAGCCAAUCUUUUAUUCUAAAAACAAGAUGUCUCGACGGACACUGAGAUUAAAGGAUGAACUAACCAUAUCCCAUAUGUGUUGCAUUCCGUGGGCAAUCAUGGCGUACAACUCUGAUUGGUCCAGAACUGCUAAUGCACGCAACAUCGCAGUUGGAGGAGGCAGAUCCUGCUGCAGCCUGCAGACAAAUUGACCUGUACUGCUACAGCUGCCAUGUCCAAUCGCCGUCGGUGCCAGCGAGACAUGCGCCAUGGUAUACCACUGGACUGGCUCGGAUAGGAACCCCUCGAACCACACCGACUCCCGCAGCGCCGAUAUCCAGUCCUAAAACCAAAAUAGUCCAGGGUGUCUCGUGCAUAAUUUCCAACGCGAACUGAGCUACUCAAUCAUGCGCCUCCAGUCCAGAUCCAACGGCCCACAUGAUCCGGUAUCAGCGUAUCAUACCACACACGGUAUCACCAGAUAUGCACUCCUCGCCGCCACGAGCGGCAAAUAGGGAUUUACAUGCCCCAUCGCUACACGAUUUUACCAGGGACGCUUCGAGUUAACUGGGCCUUCCAAUUUCUGUGCGUCCUUCACGCAAGGCUAUGCUAGGGUAUCUCUCAAAAAAAAAGGCUAUGCUAGGGUAGCUACAGUUGUACAGGUGACGGCAGUACUGGGCGAUGCUCGGGUCGCCCUGUACCGUAGCCCGGAACUCCGCCCCGAUGUGGACGGCGCGGCCGGCGGCGUUGUCGCGGAAGAAGACCUCCAGCUCGCGCCAGAGGUGGUACGCGGUGUUGUUCGGCGACUGGACCACGUCGUAGAGUUCAUCGAAGAUCGUGGCGUAGAUCCAGAGUACGAUGGUAAUGUCAUCGUUCCUCCAGACGGCAUCAGCAUGCAGGGGGUCAACGGCUUCCUCGACGUGAUCCUCGACUUGGUACUUGGUCAGUACAAAGGCGAAGAGCUAGCGCCAUUUCGAGUAAUUGUUGGCGUCCAGGCUGAGCUUGAAGGGGAUGAAUUAGGACGAGAUAUUAAUGUGAUGCAUGGAUGGAGGAGGAGCGACGGGGACCUGGGCGGCCGGCGCUGCCAGGGCGAGCGCAUGGCCGGGAGCAGCAGGGGCGCUGGAGCGCGCACGCGGAGGAUCGGGGCGCGGAUGGGCGCCGGAGCAACAGGAGCCGGUGCGGGGGUAGGCGCAGGCUCGGGGGCGACGCAAGGCAGGUCGAAGACGGUGUCGGCGUCCCCAAAGGAGCGGGUGCGCCGGAGAGGGCGGCGGACGCUUAUGGUGAAGGCGGAAGCGAGAGGAUCGAGAGCGUCUGAUACCAAGUUGGACAGGAGAAUUCUCACUAUGUUCAGUCAGGUACAACAAGCGUUUAUAUACACGCUGUACAGGUUGUUACAACAGAAUCGGAUAAGUGCUAAUCAUGCCGAACGUGGAGAUGAUGGCGUUCGUGCGCUGGAGAGUCGCGGGUGACUCGGUCCUGGAGGUUUGCCUCCCGUGCGUGGUGGCCUGUCAGGUGGACCGUCAGCAGGUUUCCAACAGCUACAGGCACAUAGUCGCGCCCUUAUUUCAUCCCCACAUUGCCCAGUUAGGAAAAAAAAAAGGUACAACAUAAACGACACAUAACUAUAAAAAAUCCAGGCACUGGCACCUUGCAACAAUACGAUACACAGUCUUCUUUGAAUACGAUACAAAAGUAGCUAGGCAACAAUUUUCCACCAGCCAAGUAACGCAGGGGAAAAAAAGGUUUAUCGGCCAUUUGCCGAUAAAAUAGGUUAACCAUCUCAUGCCGACUAUGAUCUGUUUGUUUGCUCUUGGUUUCCAGCCCUCAUUGCCGAAAAAUGAGGCGUGGUUAUUGUGGUCUUUAUUUGUGAGAGCUACACAGAAAAACUGCUCCC